rnacentral:rRNA from 1 species
AAUGCGUAGAUAUCGGGAGGACACCAGAGGGGGAGGCGGCGCACUGGACAACAACUGACACUCAACUGCGAAAGCGUGGGAGCAAACAGGAUUAGAUACCCUGGUAGUCCACGCUGUAAACGAUGGAUACUAGACGUGGUGGGUCUUGACCCCUGCCGUGUCGAAGUUAACACAAUAAGUAUCCCGCCUGGGGAGUACGGUCGCAAGACUAAAACUCAAAGGAAUUGACGGGGGCCCGCACAAGCGGUGGAUCAUGUGGUUUAAUUCGAAGCAACGCGAAGAACCUUACCUGGGUUUGACAUCCUCUGAAGUUAGUAGAGAUAUUAACGGCCCGCAAGGGACAGAGAGACAGGUGCUGCAUGGCUGUCGUCAGCUCGUGUUGUGAAAUGUUGGGUUAAGUCCCGCAACGAGCGCAACCCUUGUCUUUGGUUGCCAUCAUUAAGUUGGGCACUCCAGAGAGACUGCCGUCGUCAAGACGGAGGAAGGUGGGGAUGACGUCAAGUCCUCAUGGCCUUUAUAUCCAGGGCGACACACGUGAUACAAUGGUAGGUACAGAGGGUAGCGAAGUGGUGACACGAAGCCAAUCCCAAAAAGCCUAUCUCAGUUCGGAUUGGAGUCUGCAACUCGACUCCAUGAAGUUGGAAUCGCUAGUAAUCGCGGAUCAGCACGCCGCGGUGAAUACGUUCCCGGGCCUUGUACACACCGCCCGUCACACCAUGAGAGCCGACUCAACCAGAAGUCGCUGCUGUUAACCGUAAGGAAACAGGCGCCGAAGGUGGGGUUGGUGAUUGGGGUGAAGUCGUAACAAGGUAACCAAGGG